AUUCUGCUUAGGGAAUGCUUACAAGUGGACCAGGAAGGAUUAGGAAAUAGGAAGCAGCCAGUCUGGCUCCUACUCUGUGCCCACAAGCUGAGCAGCCUUCCGUGGAUGAACAGUGGUCAAUUCUAGGAAAAGGUAUGUUUCCCCCACUUUUAUCUUCCUCCAUAUUGUUUGAACUCUUUUAAUGGUGCAUAUUAAUUUAAAUAAAAAAGAAUAUUUUUUUUCUUUUAAAUCUUUGUAAAGAGUUGGAGGAGAGUUUAAAAUAAGCCAGGAUGUAGUGGGAGUUGGCAAUGUGGAUGAGUUUGCUUUUUUUAAUGUGUCUGUAUUACACACUUGUAUUUUUUUAAAUAUUGAAGAAAAAUGCUUGAUUGAAUUCACAGUGAAGCUGACUGCCCUUUAGGCAGUUAAGCCAAAUUGACAUUUCUGUAUGGGUUUAAUUUAACUUUUUAUUUUUAUAUUGAUGGUUGUUGAUUCCUUGCCUAAUAAUAAAAUCUAUAUUUAUUAUUUGAAUGUAUAACUACUCCUGUUUCUUCUCAAAGUUCAUUGAGAUCCACUAACAAAUGGAAGACCUUUUUUUAAUAUUUAUUUUUUAGGUUUAAGUGGACACAAUAUCUUUAUUUUACAUUUAUGUGGUGCUGAGGAUCGAACCCAGUGCCUCAUGCAUGCUAGGUGAGUGCUCUCCCACUGAGCCACAACCCCAACCCCUGGAAGACUGUUUUUAAAGAGAAUAAAGUAUAGGUAAUUACACUGAAAUAAAAUUAGAAGGAAAUAUGCCUAUGCAAAAAAGAUUAUUUUAAAAUAAUUGUAUUUUGAAGAACUAAUAUCAGAUCUUUAUAAACAUCAUUAUGGAAUAUAUCUCAGCACUCUCCACCAGCUCUCUGUUCACCUCUAUUAAUCUGGCUGAGAAAAAGUCAUGUAGUUUAUCUUCCAUAUGAAUAUAAAUUAUUUAUAUAAAUAACUUUUUUCAUCCAUCCAUUGCUGGAUGGAUUCUCACUAAAUUUUAAGAGUAUUUGAGGCCCACAUUUAUUUAAAAUAAAGGCUGUACCAUGAGCCAGAUAUUAUAUUAGGAGGUGUGGAAGUCAUUUCAGAGUGUCUAGAAUUGAAAAUAAGAAUUUAUUAAAUUUGGAGAUUCAGUUUUGAGACAAUCAAUCCUAAAACAUAGCCUUUGGAAUGUAACCAGAAUUCCCUUUAGGUUUUUUUAAGGACACCCUCAAAAGGGCAGUCAUCCUGGCAGAUGGCUGACAAGAAGGCCACAGCAAGAGGUUGCAGGAUAGCUGAGCUGGGCGAGGUUGGCCUCCAACAGAGGAAAAUUGCCCAGCAGUUUCCUAUACAUGCCCUGCUUGGAAGUCACAGGGCAGAACCUAUGGGGAACAUGUAUGCCAGCCAGGAUGAUUCACCUGAACAAUGAUUUACUGAUGAUUCAUUGAAAGCUGAAUUUAAUGAUUCCACAGUAGGAGCACCGAGAAUGGUAGCUGGAAACAGUAGUGGUAACAGCUAAUAUGCUGGAGGGUUGACGUAGAUGUGCCAUUGCUGAUACCACGUCCUUUAUAAGUCUGGGCCCUUCCAAUCCUGACAAGUGACCAAUGAGGUAAACUAUCCAGUCAUAUCCAAGAGAAGUAACAGAGGUUCUGAACGAUGGAGUACUUUUCUCAGGGGACACCUGUGAUGGCAGAGGCACUGAUGCCUGGGCAAGGAUGUGAGCAUACAGUUCUAAGUUUCUGGUCCCCCACUGAUAACUGUGUAGCCUGAGAAGUUUCUGGUUCAUUAACUUUGUGACACUCUGGUUUCUUGUCCAUAAAAUGGGGAAAUGAUAGCAUCCUUUCUGCAGAACUGAGAUGAGGGUUACAUAAGUCAAUAAAUUCAAACUCUUAAAUGAUGUUUCCCAUUGACACCCAAAUGAAGAAUGGGAAAGGACAGAGUAAGGAGGUGGCUGGCAAGCCGGAAAUGGCAGCCAAGUACCAUAAGGCUUCCUGGAGGAUUUAAAAUGAUAACACGAUUGGUGACUAAUUGGGAUCCUCCCUGCUCUGUCAUGACCUUAAUUCCUCACACUGCUCACCUCUCUUGAAGUCCUCAUUGUUUUCCAGUUGUCUCUUGGUCUUCUGUUGAAUAUCACAAAGGAAUCCAAUGGUGAAGAGGGACAAUCCUACCAAUCGAAGAGGUUUAAACCAUGUAUAUGUGGCACCAAUUGAUUGAGCUACACUGAUGGAGCCAGUCACUUUUUGGUUCAGGUAGAUAAUUAAUGGGGUGGUUGUCAGUGUGUUACCUGGAUGAGACAGGUGUGUUUUAGUAAAGUGCUAUCGAAUCCUAUUUGUGCCCUUAUUCCUUUACCAAGUUGCCCAAACCAUGGGGUUUUCUUGUGUCCUAUUGGCCUGGUUGACAUAACCCAGAAAUUGAUACCUUUACUGCCUGUUUAUUUUCCACUGAAAUCAAUUUGGGGAAAAAAUAAAUAAAAAGCAAAACAGAAAAGCUGGCAUCCUUUUGACUAAAUGAUAAUAAUAUAGAGGGGAAGAUAAGAUCAAUAUUCCUGGGGGUGAGAAGAGAAGUUAUGAAGUCACAGAAGAUUGCAGCAUAGUUUCAGGAACAUAAACACACACACACACACACACACACACAAAACAAAACAAAACAAAACAAAACAAAACAACAAGAACAACAACCAAACGGCUGAAAAAAAAGUCUUGAAGUAAUGACACUGCAUGGGCUCAUGAAAGGCUUCAUGAUCACCUCUUUUUAAGGAACAAAGCCAAAGCUGAGGCAUUUGAGAAUGAGAAGAAGAUAUACACCUGGAGAAAGAGAAAAUCCUGUAGUCUAAUUUUUCCAGAAGGACGUUUCAGGAGACCGAGAAACAUUCUACCAAAGAGUUCCUUGAUUCCUUCACACCUUAGAGUGGUAUUAUUCUGUUUGUGAAUUUCAAUUAAUGCUCUCCCUAGGCCAGCCCUUGGCUUGGGCUUAGAAUGAGCUUUCCUUCCCACCCAACCUGAAUGUGGGCAACACCUCUGUUGGCUAACUAGCAAUAGUCCCUAUGAGAGAGCAGACCAUUUUCUGGCACAAUUUUGAACCAAUCACUUUGGGUGAGUAAUGGAGGUGUUUGGAUUCUGUGCAAUUACAGGUUACUGUAUGCCAUGCAUCAUGCUACUCAGCGAGUUUCUUCCCAUAGGCAGUGGAGACAAUCAUUCCCUGUAUCCCGUGUUCUAGAAACAUCCAAAUUGAUGGAUCAUUUCUUAGAGUAGAAGUCCCACGGUCUCCAGCUAACCUGAAUAGAUUUGCUAUUUCUGUCACCCAGAAAGUUCCCAUAGUGUUCCAGUUGGUGUUCUUGCCUGCCACAGGUCACUCUCAAAAAUACCCUAAAUUGCAAACUUGACCUCCGUUACUGUGACUGUCUAUGGACCUCCCCAGCCCUGUGUGUCUCCACCUCACAUGCUGUGCUCGGUAAAGACAAGCUGCAGCAGUUCUCCACAGGCUCCAGGGCUUUACCUUUAUUUAUAACCUUGCUUCUGUCUGGGAUACUCCUUUCCAUUACUCAUCUUUCAGGCAUGAAUUCAGGUGUGAUACUCAUUUCUUAAACUCCUGGGGAUUCCCUGGGUGCCCUGGCCAUUGUUCUUUAGAAGCACUCAUCUCAAGAUUAUGUGCCCAUCUUCCAGAUGGGUCUAAAACCCACCUUGGGCAAGAAGCUUGCUAUUUAUUUCUGAGCAUCUAGCACCUUACACGGUACCUGACACUGAGUAGACACCAACUGAAGGUUUGCUGAGCUAUCUGGUUUCUGACACCCAUGGAGAUACAUUCUCAUGGGAUCCACGCCCACACAGCCCAUGACUUUCCCUGGGGUCAACUGAGGUGGGCCUGGACCUGAGGCUUGAGGUGACUGACAUCUUCCCCUAGCAUGCACAGCCAGUCCUGAGCACAGCUGAGGGAGACUAACCAAGCCUUGUGAGAGCAUGGACAAAAUAUUCAAACCUCCUCCCUCUGCUUGUUUGGUCAUUCGGAGAUGGUUUUUGUCACUCCAUUCUCAUGCUCUGUGGUCUCCUGUGCUUUCUGGCCAUCCAGCAUGCUUGAUGUACGCUGACUGCUGCACCCACCCAGCUCAGGACACACAGGUCUUUCAGAGGCUCCACUGGACCGUGGUAAAUGGCUUUCCAGUGUGGGCUGUGGCUAAAGUCUUCUAGAGAUUGUGCCUGAGUGAGGGAAAGGAAGAACAAUAAAGACUCUUUGUUCCCCAUUUUCCCCAACAUUCCCCUUCCUCCUCCUUCUGCUUCCCAUCUGAUGGAAAGUGAGGAGAUGAUGUAGCCCUCAGGGAGUUGUCCAAAGCAGCUGGUGUGCAGACUUCAUGAGAAGGGUGAGGUGGGGAGCUUCUGGAUGUGGGCAGCAUGCUUUUCCCCAUCAGCCCAAAGGACACCCUGGAGAGUGGUGAGGAAAUCAGCUUGUGCCCUCCUGACUCCUAAGUGCACACCUAAGUGCAUGAGCACACAUGUGCACACACCACACACCAUACAGACACAUACAUGCUGCAUACCAGACACACAUAACAUAUACCAUGUAUACCACACAUACCCAUACACACCACCCUCCCACACACACCACACUCCAUACACACUGCUUACCACACAGACAUACCAUGUACUAUAAACCACAUAUACCACACAUGCCACAAUACACUGCACACACACACACACACACACACAGCAUACCACAUACACCACACACCAUACACCAUAUAUAUCACAGAGAUCACAUAUAUACCAUACAAGCACAUUGUACACAUACCACAUAUAUCCCAUACACCCACAUAAUCAUACUGCACAUACCACCAUGCAUAUCAUACACUAUACAUACCUCACAAACCAUUCCUAGACACUAUACCACACAAACCACCCACAUGCACACACACACACACACAAACACAAGCAUGCACAUACACACUCCCUAUAGACACAUGGGACACACCAUAACACACACACACACAUGUAUACCACACACAUUUUUAAUUUUUUGGCAAACCCCACUCCUAUGUGAGGGUAUAUCCUGGGGACUAAUGAUAGAGUGAGGGGGAAUGAAGGAUACCAUCCAUGAAUAGCCCUUAAAUAAACAAGAAAAUUGUUUUUUUUUUUUUUGGUUUUUUUUUAAUCUUCAUUGGUUUCUUGGUUGUAGGAAAGAGGGAGAGCCUGUUAUAGGUCAGGGAGAAUUGGGCAUAAGAUUAAUCUCCAAAGUGACUCUUGUGAUAGGCAUACACAUAGUUGUAAAUUCUUUAAAUUUCUUUUGUCUUUGAAUAAAGAUAAUAGCUGUGAGCAGGGGACGAGAGGAGAGUAGGCAUAGAGGGCAUUUUUCAGCAGGAGUAAAGCCUCUUCAUGAUUUAUUACUUGAUUAGGUUCCAGCAACUGUGCAGUUGAUAUUCUUAUUCAGGAUAACAGGAGCUUGGUUGGGAUAAAUAAAAAUAUAACUAGUUUGUACCGCUUGAUCUAAGAUGUUCUUCAUGCUCAAAUGGGUAUUUUGGGGAAUUUGGAUACAAGGUGAGCCCCCAAAGCUCCUGUGUUAAUGCAGGAAUAUUCAGGGCUAAAAUGAUGGGAUUACAACAUCUGUAGCCUAAUCAGUCCAUCCCAGUUUAUUUAGAUGGACUGGCUGGGGGGACACUGUAGGUAGGUGGGCUGUAGCUGGAGGUUGGUCACUGGAGUGUGCUCUGGAAUAGCUCAUCUCCCUGUGCCCUUUCCCUCUGACCCCUCUUUCUACCUCCAAUUGGCAUGAAUGGAGCAAUAUUCUUCACCACGCCCUUGUACCACAAUACGCUGCUUCACCACAGGCCCAGAGCAAUAGCGUGGCAGUCUGUGGAACUGAAACUCUGAGAUUCUGAGCCCCAAAUAAACCUUUCUUCCUCUGAGUUGUUCUUGUCAGGUGUUUUAGCUAGAGCAACACAAAGCUGACUAAAACAGUAUUCCAAAAAAUAAAAUAAAACAAAGAAAAACAAAGAGAAGUGCUGGUCUGUGUCUCCUACCUUCAAGUGGAGGAGUAGAUUUUAACAUUCACAGUCCAGGCCAUAAGUGGAACUUUCGAACUGGGUCCAGCUGCACCAACACGGGGGGGGGCGGGGGGGUGGGCCUCAGGCUAUCACUGGGCAGAUUUGUCAGUGAAUGUGACCAGUGUGUGAUGCUCCCUUCAAACUGAGAGGGCAAAUUAGACUCAACCUGCCAAAGGCUUGUAACUUUCUUCCAUUUGAUCCUCUAUAUGGGGAAAAAAAGAACUUGUAACUUCACUUUUAUCACAAAAACAUGCCAUUUACUAUAAUAAAUAGAAGUGGUAAAAGAGGGCAUCCCUGUCUUGUUCCAGUUUUUAGAGGGAAUGCUUUCAAUUUUUCUCCAUUUAGAAUAAUGUUGGACUGGGGCUUAGCACAGGUAGCCUUUACAAUGUUGAGGUAUGUUCCUGAUAUCCCUAGUUUUUCUAGUGUUUUGAACAUGAAGGGAUGCUGUAUUUUAAUUGUUUUAAAUUGAUUUAAAUGUUUUUUAUGCAUCUGUUGAUCUCAAUGAUUUUUAAGAGAUUUAUAUGAUCAUAUGAUUUUUAACUUUAAAUCUAUUGAUGUGAUGAAUUACAUUUAUUGAUUUCCGUAUGUUGAACCAAACUUACAUCGCUGGAUGAACCCUACUGAUCAUGGUGCACUAUCUUUUAGAUAUGUUUUUGUAAUCAAUUUGCCAGAAUUUUAUUGAGAAUUUUUGCAUCUAUAUUCAUUAGAGAUAUUGGUCUGAAGUUUUCUUUCUUUGGUUUGUCCUAGUCUGGUUUUGGAAUAAGGAUGAUAUUGACCUCACAGAAUGUGUUUGAAAAUGUUCCCUCUUUUUCUAUUUCAUAAAAUAGUUUGAGAAGUAUUAUGUUAGUUCUUCUUUAAAGGUCUUGUAGAACUCAGCUGUGUAUUUAUCCAGUCCUGGGCUUUUCUUGGUUGGUAGACUUCUGAUGGUGUCCUCUAUUCCCUUACUUGAAAUCUAUGUUUAAAUUGUGUAUAUCAGGGGCAGGGGAUAUAGCUCAGUUGAUACAGUGUUUGCCUGCUUGCACAAGGCCCUGGGUUCGAUCCCCAGCACCACCAAAAAUAAAAUAAAUUGUGUGUAUCAUCCUAAUUUAGUUUGGGCAUAUCAUAUGCUUCUAGAAAUUUGUUGAUGCCUUAAAUAUUUUUUUAUUUUAUUGGAGUACAAAUUUUCAAAAUAAUUUCUAAUUCUCUUCUGUAUUUCUGUAGUGUCUGUUGUAAUAUUUCUUUUUUUUAUCACAGAUGAUAGUAAUUUGAGUUUUUUUCUCUCCUCUUCAUUAGCAUGGCUAAUGGUUUAUCAAUUUUACUUAUUUUUUCAAAGAACCUACUUUUUGUUUUGUCAAUUUUUUCAAUUGUUUCUUUUGUUUUCAUUUCAUUGAUUUCGGCUCUGAUUUUAAUUAUUUUCUGUCUUCUACUGCUUUGGGGGUUGAUUUGUUCUUUUUCUAAGGCUUUGAGAAGACAGGAAUGCCCUCUUUCACCACUUCUACUUAACAUAGUUUUUGAAACUCUAGACAGAGCAAUCAGACAGAUGAAAGAAAUUAAAGGGUUAUGGACAGGAAAAUAAGAAUUCUAAUUAUCACUAUUUGAAGAUGAUAUGAUUCUAUACCUAGAAGACCCAAAACAGUCCACCAGAAAUCUCCUAGGACUAAUAAAUGAAUUCAUCAAAGUAGCUGGAUAUAAAUCAGCAUCCAUAAAUAAAAGGCAUUUAUGUACAUCAGUGACAAAUCCUCUGAAAGGGAAACUAGGAAAACCACUCCAUUUAUAAUAGCCUCAAAAAAAAAAUGGGAAUCAACUUCAUGAAAGAGAUGAAAGACCUCUAUAAUGAAAAUUACAGCAUGCUAAAGAAAGAAAUUAAAGAAGUCCUUAGAAGAUGAAAAUAUCUACCUUGUUCUUGGAUAGGCAGAAUUAAUAUUAUCAAAAUGACCACAUUACCAAAAGCACUAUACAGAUUUAAUGCAAUCUCAAUCAAAACCCCAAUGACAUUCCUCAUAGAAAUAGAAAAGGCAAUCAUGAAAUUCAUCUGGAAAAAUAAGAGGCCCAGAAUAGCCAAAGCAAUCCUUAGAAAGAAGAGUGAAGCUGGUGGCAUUACUAUUCUUAAACUAUACCACAGAGCAAUAGUAACAAAAACAGCAUGAUAUUGACACCAAAAUAGACUUGUAGAUAAAUGGUACAGAAUAGAGGACACAGAGACUAACCCAUAUAACGACAGUUAUGUUAGACAAAGGUGCCAAAAAAUAUAUAUUGGAGAAAAGAUAGCCUCUUCAACAAAUGGUGCUGGGAAAACUGGAAAUCCACAUGUAAGAAAAUGAAAUUAAACCUCUAUCUCUCACCAUGCACAAAACUCAACUCAAAGUGGAUCAAGGACCUUGGAAUUAAAUUGGAGAUCUUGCACCUAAUCGAGAAAAAGUAGACCCAAAUCUCCAUCAUGUCGGAUUAGGCCCCAACUUCUUUAAUAAGACUUCUAUAGUGCAAGAAUUAAAACCAGGAAUCAGUAAAUGGGAUAGAUUCAAACUAAAAAGCUUCUUCUCAGCAAAAAGAAACAAUCAGUGAGGUGAACAGAGAGCCUACACAAUGAGAGCAGAUCUUUACCUCAAGGACAUCAGAUAGAGCACUAAUCUCUAGAAUAUGUAAAGCACUACGAAACCUUAACACCAACCUCCCCCCCACCAAUAACCCAAUCAAUAAAUAGGCCAAGGAACUCAACAGACACUUCUCAGAAGAGGAUAUACAAUCAAUUAACAAGCAUGAAAAAAUGUUCAACAUCUCUAGCAAUUGAAGAAAUGUAAAUCAAAACUACAUUGAGAUUUCAUCUCAUUCCAGCCAGAAUGGCCACUAUCAAAAAUACAAACAAUAAUAAGUGUUGGUGAGGAUAUGGGGGAAAAGGCAAACUCAUACAUUGUUGGUGGGACUGCAAAUUGGUGCAACCACUCUGGAAAGCAGUAUGAAGAUUCCUUGGAAAACUUGGGAUAGAACCACCAUUUGACCUAGCUAUCCCACUCCUAGGUCUAUACCCAAAGGACUUAAAAGCAGCAUACUACAGGGACACAGCCAUAUCAAUAUUUAUAGCCGCACAAUUCACAAUAGCUAAAUUGUGGAAACAACCCAGAUGCCCUUCAGUAGAUGAAUGGGUAGGGAAACUUUGGUAUAUAUACACACUGGAACAUUAUUCAGCAUUAAAAGAGAAUAAAAUCAUGACAUUUGCAGGUAAAUGGAUGGAGUUAGAGAAGAUAAUGCUAAGUGAAGUAAGCCAAUCCCCAAAAAACCAAAGGCUGAAUGUUUUCUUUGAUAUGAGGAUGCUGACUCAUAAUGAUGAUUGGGCGGGGAGCAUGGGAGGAAUGGAGGGGCUUUAGAUAGGGCAAAGGGGAGGGAGGGGAAGGAAGGGGGUAAAGGGGUAGGAAUAAUGGUGGAAUGAGUUGGACAUCAUUAAGCUAAGUACAUGUAUGAAGACACGAAUGGUGAGAAAAUAUUUUGUAAACAAUUACUGACUUGAAAAAUUGUGCUCUUUAUGUGUAAUAGGAAAUGAAUUGCAUUCUGCCAUUGUGCAUAACAAAUUAGAAUAAAUAAAUAAUUUAAUUAAAAAAACAUGCCAUUUACAUAUUAGCUGGCGCAUUAGUUUCUAGGGCUGUCACAACAGAGUAGCACAGAUGGCUUAAAAACAGCAGUGCAUUGUCUCCCAAUUCUGAGAUCAAGGUUGAUUUCUCCUGAGGCCUCUCUCUUUGGCUUAUAGAUCCCCACCUUCUCCCUAUAAGUAUCUUGUGUCCAAAUCUCCUCUUAUGAGAAUACAAGUCAUGUUGGAUUAGGGCCCAACCUCUGUACCUCAUUUUAACUUUACCUCUUUAAAGACCUUAAGCCCAAAUAUAAUCAUAUUCUUAGGUACUCAUGGUGAGGAUUUCAACUCAGCUGGUAGGGGGGGGGGCGACAAAAUUCAGUCCACAGCAUGUUGUAGUACUUAAAAUUUUCCUCCUACAAUUUUGUUAAAGACUUUUGUUUCUAUCAAAGGAAAAAAGCUUUAAGUUAGAGAGACAUUCUCUGAUUUACAAUACCAAGAAGGCACUUCCUGUUGAAAUUACUUUUUCCUAAGGGAAUGUCCUGGACACUUUCCUUGGGAUUUCAUUAAGAGCAAUAAGUCUUGUGUUGCAACCAUUUCUUGCCUGGCCCUGGGCUGAGUAUAACUAUUAUGUUUUGUUUAGCUCAACAAAGACAGAGCAGUUGCCCAUUUGAUUCUAUUACUCUUCCUAGAGCAAAUAGGUAGAGAUGGUUGGCAAUGAUUUAGGGGAUGGCAGAAAUUGGUUAUUAGGUUGCAGGCAAAUUGUGUGUUCUCUGGGGCUGAUGUGACCAUCAAGCCGCCCCUGCUGAUCCAGAGCUCUGGCCCUGGGUUUCUUCCCAGCAGAUUGGAUGGGAAAUUUCCCAUCCACCCAGCACUGCCUCUGGUACUCAGAAUACUCUGGGCAUUCCCAGAAAACCUGCAACAGAAUAAUUUACAUACCAGCAUGUUCUCAAACUUUCGCUUCUAGAAACCACCAGUCUCUGUGUGGAGCCAAAUUGGGUGAACGAUGAGGUAUCAAACCAAGCAACCCUGCAAUAGUCCAAACAGCGACUGUGCCAAGAGAGUUAUCAUGUUGUUCUCAGGCAGAGUUUAGAAUUUGCCACUGAAGAUCUUUCCAAGUGAUGUUUUGUGAAACUGUGAACAAUGUCAGUGGGUCUGUAAUAAUUAUGUGACCCUAAAGGUCACAGUCCUCAAUGUAUUUGUACAGUGUUUACUUCAAAAAAUAAAAAUUUCUGGUUUCUUUUUCUACUAACAAAUAAAGAGUAACGAACAUUUUUGAGGAGCUGCUCUGAUCCCAAAGAUCUGCUCAGCACCAAAGAAGGAAAGUGCAGCAUUCCUAGCCUCUAUGCAAUAGAUGCAAAACCAGACUUGGGUACAGGGCGACCAGUGUUAUCAUUUAUGCACUCCUGUCUGAGCUGAGUGGGGGCGAGGCAGCUUAUAAAGCCUCUGUCUUCCCCUGGAGUGGAGAGACAGCUAGGCGUGGGUGGGAGAGAAAAGAAAAUCAGCCAUCUGCCCAAUCUUGACAAGAUCUCAUUCCAGAGAUGGAUAUCUUUACUUUUUGCUCUUGUGAAACUCCAAGUUGAAAGAACUAAACUUGGGUUCUGUCUUAGUCCGUUCUCCAGGGUAUUUAUUAAUUCAUGAUUUUGUAGACUUAAAGUCCAAAUAGUAUCAUGUAGGCUCUGGAGAGGGCUUUGUGGUGGAUAGAACAUACGUGGGAUGGAGAGAUCACAUAGUGAGACUGGAAGCCAGAGAGAAGUGGGAGGGGACAGUUGUGUACUUUUAUAACAAUGUCUUCUUGAGAAUGAACCAGGGUCCAAGGGAAGCCUCCUUAAUGACCCCCCACCUCUUAAAAGUCCCACUGACUCCCAACAUUGCCCCAUUGGGGAUGAAGUCUCCAACACAUGAACCCUUGGGGGACACGCUCAAACCACAUUCAAAUCACUGGAAAUGCAUUCUGAUGUCAAGUGAGAGAAGUGGCCUACCUGAAGUCAUUGGAAGACUCUAGUCUCCCCCAGUCCAGAUACACAAGUCCCUGUGCACAGACCCAGCCAGCAGCCUCUGGAUUCCUUGUUCUCCUCUGCUGGCCCUUCCAUCCAUUAGGAGUUUGAGGUCCAAUGGCUGUCAGGACAAUGGGCCUAGGCUUGACUGAAAGCAUGCCCCUGUACACUCAGCUCCUGCGGGUGGUGAUGGAGACCAAGAAGAGACAACUGCUUGGUGGAGGUAGCUGAGGCAUGUCUUGGGUCCUUCCCAGACAUGAUCUCCUGUCACACUCUCUAUGCUCUGUUUCUCCUUCCCCCCCAGGGUCAUCAUGGGAAGCAAGUAUUCAUUAUGCAUUCCAUAAUCUGGACUAUUUUAGGGCCAUAGAAGUUAUGUUGAUGAAGAACCUUUUAGCUUCCUGUAGAAUAAUUAAAAAGGACAGACUAUAUGACUGAGGUCAUUUUAGAAUCCCAAUGAUGUCUAAAUAUAUACUUUAAACAAAUAAAGUAGGAAAAUGUCAACUUAUUUCUGAGUAUGGGGUGUUGAUUUUUCCCUAUCCUUCUAUAUUGUCUGAAUUUUGUAUAAAUAGGGAAAAUGAAUUAUUUGAAAGGUGGAAAGUUCAUCCAGACAAGUAUCAAAGCAUUCUCUGGCUUUGUGGAUAACUUUAAGGCAUUAGGUCUCCCAUAGGGUACAGAUUAAUGUCUUCUUUACCCCCUGUGCUUCUAUUGCUUUCUGGCUGGACUGUAAACCAGAGGAAGAGCCACAGCCAUCAACCAACAAUGUGGGGAACUAACAUAGACCCCAACUGAAAUUGGCUCUUAAAAGUGCUCCUAAAGUUCUGGCACUUGAAGAACUUAACUACUGAAGGAGUGUUUAUUGAGCAAGUGCUAUAUUCUAUGCACAGCUCUGGGAAUAAACCAAAUCCCUGCCUUCAUUUCCAACUUUUCUUCUCUGUUAAAUAGCAUUUGUCUUCUCUUUGAUAUUCAUUCUCUCACUGUCUCUAUGGCAGGGCAGGGAGAAGGAAAGAGCUAACCCUAAAGCUAGCUGACCUUCAUGAUUAUGUCAGUGAAUCCUCAUAAAGUAUCCAGGUAAGGAUUUUACAAGACAGGUUACAAGCUCAGAGAGUGUGAUAGUGGCUUUCUAUUGCUAUUAUUGGCUUCUAAAGAGAAAAGGAUUAUUUUGGCUUAUGGUUUUAGAGUUUCCAGUAAAUGAUCAGGCUAACCAACAACUUAAGCUUCUGGUGGUAAUGCCAGAAGGCACUGAUACGGAGUGCACAGCAGAGAAAAACUGCUCACAUCUUGGACAGGAAGCAAAGUCAGUAAGGGGGAAGGGCCACUCUCCUUUUCAAUGGUUCACCCUCAAUGACCCAAAGACCUCCUACUAGGCCCCACCUCUUUAAGUUUCCACACCUCACAAUAGACCAAACUAAGGACCAAACCUUUAAAAAAUUAGCCUUUGGGAUACGUGUAAGACUGAAACUAUAGCAGAGAGAUUAAGUAAUUUAUUCACAGUCACACAACAAUUAAGGGGCAGAGCAUGACUAAGCCCAUGUCUUUCCUGAGAAACUAUCUUACCACUUUAAAGCAGCAUAAAAAAAAAAAAAUCAGAUCCUUUUAUUCCAGACCCAGCUUUGUAUUUCCUCAAUUUUAGUAAAACAGGCAGACCUAGGAAUUCGCCAGAAUCUUUAGAUGUAUCAGUUUUAAGGUUUGUUUUCAUUCUUGGUUCCAUUUUUAAUGUCCACAGAUAACAAAAGAGCAGUAAGAAUUCCCUAUACUUUAUUUUCUCUCUUUGUUCAUCUUUAGGCCUCAGUAACCAGUUAUUUUCUGUGACAUGUCAGAGAUCAACUUCAUGGACAGAAAUUCAAUGAGCUGAUUUGAAUUUGAGGAACUCAGGGCCCUGCUCAUGCUGGGGGCUUGGCUGGCUAGUGUUGGUCUUCUAUCUUCCCUUCCAGCUCCUUUCUUCUCUUCAUUUCCUUCUGCCUGGGGCACUCUGCCAAGCUACUUUCUAUCUCUGAGCUCUGCACCUGCUUUCCUAAAGGGGGAAGCUCUGUGGCUGGCCCUCUUGGGGCUGGCUUGUCAUGGCCCCCAUUUCAGCUCAUAAGCUGUCCUUAGCAGUGGCCCUCCCUGAUCCUCAGCUAAAGGAAAUCACCCCAACCAGCCACUCUCCUCCCUCCCUCUGUCUCUCUCUCUCUAUAUUUUUUCAUAUCAUUAAUCACUACUUGCAAUUCCAUAAGCUCCGUGAUUGUUUGGGUCCCUGAGCAACUAGAACAGUACUUGGCAUAUAAGAGGCUCUUGGAAAUGGUGUGAAUGUUUUGAAUUAGGAACUGAGCUCCAGGGGACACGGAGGUAACUUUGUUCCAACACAUCUAGCCUCCAGCCAGAAAUGGCAGGGUUGGGGCAAUGAGAUGAGAGAUAAUAAAACCAAAACAUCAUUGUCAGAAACAAGGUCACCUUUGCAAUCUCUGGAAAUCUCCACUCAUUUUGUCUGUGCCUCAUCUCUCAUUUCAUCUGGGAUCUGAAUCUGACCUUUGAAUUGGCCACAGGAUUUUUUUUUUUAACCAUUAAACUCAGGAGCACCCAGCCACUGAGCCACAUCCCCAGCCCUAUUUUAUAUUUCAUUUAGAGACAGGGUCUCAUUGAGUUGCUUAGGACCUCACAAAAUUCCUGAGGCUGGCUUUGAACUCACAAACCUCCUGCCUCAAGCCGCUGGGGUUACAGGUGUGCGCCACUGCACCUGGUACAGGAUCAGUUUUGUCCAUGAAAGGAAGGACCAAAUCACUGUGGCAUGACUAGACAGACUUAUUAUUUUUUUCCCAUACUGGGAUCCAUGUCUCCUGGAGCCCAAAGCGACCACCUGCCAUUACGUUUUGCUUUGUUUUCCUCAUUUGAACUGAACCCCUUCCCGAUGGCACCUUUGCUCAGCUUUCUGGGCUCCAGGCCAAUUCCACCUGUUGCAAAAGGCAAACUGAUCACCUUUCGCGAUGACACAAGAAGGGAACUGAAGUCAGAGAGUGACCCAGUUACAAUGUUUGUGCUCUGUUCCAGAGAGAAAACCAAAGCUGAAAUCCAGUAACCACUGAUAGGAAGAUCUGGAGAUAGACACUGACCUGAAUUCUGAAUAACAACCAGAGAGAAGGAAGUCUGAGAACGUGCUGGCCUUCCUCCAAAACCUGUUUAUUGUGUGAAUUCCUAGAAGACAGCAAGGCACCGAGAAACAGACUGGAGUGGCUUACACAAGCGAUUACGCUACUGAGAUCUGCAAAAGCAGGAAAACAAACUCAGCAGAUAGAGGUCAGAGUCCAGCCUUGGUGGGCCAAGUUUAUGUGUUUGUUUUGCUGUUAAGUUCCUGUUGAACUAUUAAACCCUAUGAAGAGAUCAAAAGUUUAAUAAGCAUCUCCAUUUACAACUUGCCUCCAAGCAAUCGUAGCAACAGCACUUAUCCCCCAUCAUGGGACUCGCCCACCAGAAUGAAACUCAUCUAAUUGCCUAUCUUCUAAGGCCAGAGUACUAGAACAUUCUGGUGGCCUGACCUAGAUUCCUGCUCACGUCUCUGAGAUGCAACAGGAGAAGUUUGGAGAGCUUAGAUAUUACAGAACUGGAGUAUACAUGGGAAGGCAGUAAAGGGUGUGUUGGGUCUACCAAGGUGCUACAGGCUGUGGAAAUGCAGUAGUAAAGGAGCCAGGCAUAGCAGCUGUCACCAUGGAGAUAUCAUCUCCAUUCUGGGACAGAUGACCCGCAUGCCCUGAGGUCUACAGCUGAGACUCCUCUCUUGGAGACAAUUGUACUUCAGGUCACACUUGGGUGUGAUAAGAAGACAUGGCAUCUAAAGAUUCUCACAAUUACAUUUUUCUCAGUGAGGAAUCAAUACAAGGGAAUUCCCCCAACACACACAUCAUGUCAUCAAGUAAGGAAGUUCUUUUUCUGAAACAUUGGACUAAACAAGAUCUCUCAAUGGAAACUUAAGACACAUGAGCAAGCCCAACCCCAAACAUUACUUAAACAGCCCCUUGUCUAUGAUUUUUUUUUUAACUUUGCCUGAAAUUUAUUUUAAAAAAGAGCUUAAUUCCUAGAUUUAUAAGAAUAAGAACAUUUUUUUUUUCUAAUUCAAAGACUGAAAAGCCAUGUACACUAUUCUUGGUCUGUUCCUACUGCUUGCAAUAAAAUGUUUAGGUUUCAAAGUGAUAUUUAUUUGGACAUUAAAGAGACAAUGUGAG
rnacentral:lncRNA from 1 species